UUCUGAGUUCCUCAGUCAGUG
rnacentral:miRNA from 2 species